rnacentral:tRNA from 1 species
GGGACACUGACCAUAGGAUUAUUGGGGACUCUUAAUCCCAAGGUCACAGGUUCGAUCCCUGUACGGCCCACCA